rnacentral:misc_RNA from 1 species
AACGCACAUUGCGCCCCUUGGUAUUCCGAGGGGCAUGCCUGUUCGAGCGUCAUUAUGACCACUCAAGCCUAGCUUGGUAUUGGGGUUCGCGGUCUCGCGGCCUCUAAAAUCAGUGGCGGUGCCGUCUGGCUCUAAGCGUAGUAAUUUUCUCGCUAUGGGGUCCGGACAGUUACUUGCCUAAACCUCCAACUUCUCACGGUUGACCUCGGAUCAGGUAGGGAUACCCGCUGAACUUAA